AAAAAAAUUUAUUAUGGUUUAAGUAUUUUAUUAAAAUUUAUUUUACAUAUAAAUUUUUGUAUAAAUUUUAAAUUAUUUAAAUAAUAAUUUAUUUUAUACUUGUAGUAAUUAAUAUUAAAUAAUUUAAGAAAUUAAGAUUUAGUAAUAUUUUAAUUAAUAACAAAUUUUGUGCCAGCAGUUGCGGUUAUACAAAAAUUAAAUUAAAAUUUAUUAGUUAUUAAUAAAUAAUUUUAAAUAUGUAAUAAAAAUUUUAAAUUAUUAAGUGAAAUUUUAAUUUAAUAAAAAUUUACAAAAAAAUUAUGAUUUAAUAAAUUUUUAAAAUAAACUAGGAUUAGAUACCCUAUUAUAAAAUUUUUAAAUUAAUAAUACUAAAAUAGUAUAUAAUUAUUUAUUGAAACUUAAAUAACUUGGCGGUAUUUUAGUUCAUUUAGAGGAAUCUGUUUAAUAAUUGAUAAUCCACGAAUAAAUUUACUUAAUUUAUAAUUUUGUAUAUCGUUGUUAAAAAAAUAUUUUUAAGAGUAAAUAAUAUUUUAAUUUUUAUAUAAAAAGUUAAAUCAGAUCAAGAUGCAGAUUAUAAUUAAGAAUAUAAUGGAUUACAAUAAAUUUAUUUAAAUGAAUAUUAAUUUGUAAUAGUUAAUUGAAGGUGGAUUUAUAUGUAAUUUUAUUUAAUUUAAUAAAAUGAUUAAAAAUUGAAAUAUGUACAUAUUGCCCGUCGCUUUCAUAUAAAUAAAAAAAAAUUGAAAUAAGUCGUAACAAAGUAGAGGUACUGGAAAGUGUUUCUAGAAAGAA
rnacentral:ncRNA from 1 species